GAUGAACGCUGGCGGCGUGCCUAAUACAUGCAAGUCGAGCGAACAGACGAGGAGCUUGCUCCUCUGACGUUAGCGGCGGACGUGUGAGUAACACGUGGAUAACCUACCUAUAAGACUGGGAUAACUUCGGGAAACCGGAGCUAAUACCGGAUAAUAUAUUGAACCGCAUGGUUCAAUAGUGAAAUACGGUUUUGCUGUCACUUAUAGAUGGAUCCGCGCCGCAUUAGCUAGUUGGUAAGGUAAAGGCUUACCAAGGCAACGAUGCGUAGCCGAACUGAGAGGGGGAUCGGCCACACUGGAAGUGAGACACGGACCAGACUCCUACGGGAGGCAGCAGUAGGGAAUCUUCCGCAAUGGGCGAAAGCCUGACGGAGCAACGCCGCGUGAGUGAUGAAGGUCUUCGGAUCGUAAAACUCUGUUAUUAGGGAAGAACAAAUGUGUAAGUAACUAUGCACGUCUUGACGGUACCUAAUAAGAAAGCAACGGCUAACUACGUG
rnacentral:rRNA from 1 species